GAUGAACGCUGGCGGCGUGCUUAACACAUGCAAGUCGAACGGAAAGGCUCCUGCUUGCAGGGGUACUCGAGUGGCGAACGGGUGAGUAACACGUGGGUGAUCUGCCCUGCACUUCGGGAUAAGCCUGGGAAACUGGGUCUAAUACCGGAUAGGACGAUGGUUUGGAUGCCAUUGUGGAAAGUUUUUCGGUGUGGGAUGAGCUCGCGGCCUAUCAGCUUGUUGGUGGGGUAAUGGCCUACCAAGGCGUCGACGGGUAGCCGGCCUGGGAGGGUGUACGGCCACAUUGGGACUGAGAUACGGACCAGACUCCUACGGGAGGCAGCAGUGGGGAAUAUUGCACAGUGGGCGCAAGCCUGAUGCAGCGACGCCGCGUGGGGGAUGACGGCCUUCGGGUUGUAAACUCCUUUCGCUAGGGACGAAGCGCAAGUGACGGUACCUGGAGAAGAAGCACCGGCUAACUACGUG
rnacentral:rRNA from 1 species